rnacentral:piRNA from 1 species
CAGGAUGACCCCUUGGAACUGUGCCGAG